AUGACUGGGAGGCCUUCCCCCACUUGCUCUGGCCCCCCACAGCCAGUCUGUCCCCCAUGGCAGUGCCCAGCAUCCUGGGCACUUCUUGCCUGUAUGUCGCCUGUCUGUUGUUCUAGAUUGAAGAAAGUUCUGGAAGGCGGAACCUGGAGUGAUGUAUUCACUUCUGUGACCCAGGACCAAGAUCUAUGCUGGGCAGGAGAUGCCCUGGAGAAUGAGCCAACCCUCGCUGGGCCCUCUCAACGCUGUUCUCGAAGGCCGCAGGGAAGGGGUGAGGGGCAGGCCGGUGUGCAGACACCUCCCCACCCCUCCCCUGCCCCUUCCCCAGCCUUCCUGGCACCCGGCAUGGCUUUGCCCUCCUCCUGUCCACGCCACCCGCCGCUGGAGGUGGGGAGAGACUCCAGGGGCCGCGGCCCCUUCCUGCGCAGGCUGAGGGCCUCCAAGGCCGCAAAGGGCGCCACUCGGGCCCAGAGAUGCAUAUGCGCCAGGACACCCGCUGGAGCCUGGUGGCCCCUGGUGGCCCCGAGCAGAGCUGCCCGCUGCCCUCAGGAAAACGGAUCAAUAAAUAAUGAAGUGCGUGCAGCCUUCAGAAAGAACAGACCACUUCACAGGCAGUGACGUGGAAAGAGGUUGUAGAGUGGAAAAAAGAAAAAGCAAAGCUAUUCCGUGGUGUGUAUAUUGACCAUAGUGUACUAUGAACUCCAAGCAAAUCAAACUAGCCAGUGGAUGGAGGGGCUGUCCUGUGUUUGGAAACACACUGAGCAAAAGACAGGCUUCGCCAGCUGGACUCACCCAUACUAUUUCUCCCUCCCUCUUCCUCUUACCAUCCCACCCCCCUGUGUUAGCUCCGCGUA
rnacentral:lncRNA from 12 species